rnacentral:lncRNA from 1 species
CUGACCCUCCUUGGGGUUCAGGCUCUUCUUCUGUACAGAGUCACAAUGCUGUUAAUUCAUAUUCUUCCCAUCGCAGGGAUGAACCCCUCUGGCUCAGUCAUAAAUGAUAAUAUAGGACUCGUUUUCCGUGGAAAAGCCCUAGUACAGCCAUAUGGGUACUUUAAUACGAAAUGCUCACCUACCAGUUUGUAAGCAGCCCCUAUCUGAGCCCCUAGGUGCCACCUCCACUCUGUCCUCAAUCUAGACAUAACACACUUGCAGGCAAAGUCACUUUCUGGAAAUAACCAUGACGGAGUCAAAGACUCCUCAGAAACCACUGAGGCCAGUGCUUCCCAAAUAUGGUUAUAUAUCAGAAGCAUAUGAGAAACUUGGCCAGGUGCAGUGGCUCAUGCCUGUAAUUCCAGCACUUUGGGAGGCUGAGUGGGGUGAAUCACUUGAGGUCAGGAAUUUGAGACCAGCCUGGUCAACAUGGUGAAAUCCCAUCUCUACUAAAAAUAGAAAAAUUAGCUGGGCGUGGUGGCAUGCGCCUGCAGUCCCAGCUACUCGGGAGUCUGAGGCAGGAGAAUUGCUUGAAUUGGGGAGGCAGGGGUUGCUCUUCCUUGACGACUCACUGAGGCACACCUAUGGUGGGACCUUUAGAAUCAGAUUAUCAGAUUUGGAGAGGGGAGGCAGUGCAAAGUCAGUCACCUCCACUAGCUUGCCUAGUGCUUUUAUGAGUGUGGAAUUCCAAGCCAAGCUUUGCAAUUGCAGAUGCACCACUUACCAGUGAGUAAUUUUCUCUUUCUGAACCUCAGUGUCCUUAUCUGUCAACCAGAGCCAGUAAUCUUUUCCUCAUAGCAGAGUUGGAGGGGUCUGUGACAGAACCUCCUAGUUAGCCCCCAGUGUCUGUCUUCCCACCAAGCCACAGAAAUGAGAGCCCCAAUAUUCUGACCACCCUAAAGACUCUAUUUCCCAGCAUGCCUUGCAGAUAGUUGUACCAUGUAGGUAAGUUCUGGCCAAUGGGAUAUAAAUGGAGUUGUUUGGGGGUUAGCUUUGGGGAGCCUUCCUCUAAAGCCAGAGGCAUGCGCACUUUGCCCUUUUGUCUUCAUUCCCACCCGCCUUCUGAUCCCUAGAAUGUAGAUGUGGUGGCUGCCAUUUGGGAUCAUGAAGACAGUUUCCCCUGCUAGGGGUGACCAGUGGGAAUUGGAAGGGGUCCACCUCCUUGAGCAUCAUUGAGCCACCUCCCUCACCUGCUUCCCUCUGGGCUUCUUUUACUUUUUUAGAGAAAUCAACUCCCAUCUUAUGUAAGCCAUUUUUAUAUGAGUCUGUGUUACUCAGAGCUGAACUUACUCCUCACUCACUGCCAUAGCAUCUGAGGAAAUCAAGUGGUUCUCUUCUAACCAAGUCACCCUUAUGCCUUAAAUCCCUCUGAUACUGAC